rnacentral:rRNA from 1 species
AUGCUUCUCUCCCGGCGGUUCUCCUCCGCCCUCGCUCGUUCCGCCUUCCUUGCGAGAUGCCCCCUUCCACCCCGGGCCCCUCCGCCCCCUCGCCCCCUGCCACGCCGCCUCAUGUCCUCCUCCUCCUCUGGGUGGCACCACUCUUCCCGUCUCCCGCCGCCGCCUCCUCCGCCGCCUCCGUCCUUCUCCGACAAGGAUCAGCUGUUCCGGGGGCUGGAGGCGGCGUUGGGCACCACGUUUAGCUCCGAGCCGCUGGCGCCGCCGCCGGAGCCGAUGAUCCUCGUCAUCAGUGGCCCGAGCGGUGUCGGGAAGGAUGCAGUCAUCAAGAGGCUGCAAGAGGAGAGGGAAGAGAUCCAUUUUGUUGUUACCGCGACGAGCAGGGCAAUUCGGCCGGGUGAAGUUGAUGGGAAGGACUAUCACUUUGUCACCAAGGAGGCGUUCCUAACCAUGAUUGAAAGGGAGGAGUUGCUUGAGUACGCGCUUGUUUAUGGGGAAUACAAGGGGAUUCCCAAGCAGCAGAUCCGUGAUUACAUGGCCAAAGGACAUGACAUUGUCUUGAGAGUCGACAUUCAAGGAGCAGCAACUUUGAGAGAGAUACUUGGCGAAUCUGCAAUUUUCAUCUUUUUAGUUGCAGAGAGCGAGGAGGCACUUGUCAAAAGGCUCAUUCAACGUAAAACUGAAACUACAGACAUGCUUCUUGUCAGAAUUGCAACAGCCAGAGAGGAGGUGAGGCGGAUGAAAUAUUUUGACUACGUUGUAGUCAAUGCUGAAGGGAAGCUUGAGGAUGCUGUUAAACAGGUUGAGUCUAUCAUUGAUGCUGAGAAGGCAAAAGUCCAAAAGCGUAAUGUCAAGAUCUAG